AAUAUAUAGAGUACCCUCACGUUACCAUGAGUCGAGGAUGCGCAAGGAUAUCCAAACCCCCAAACACUCGUCCUCGGGGUACUUGUCUCUUUGUGAAUUUCCUAACUAGAUAGAGAUUUACCGAUAAUAAGUGUAUGAGUUCUUCGGACUAAUGUGAGUAUUCGAUUGUUGGCACUUACAUCAUCCAUAUUUUGCUAGCCUCUUUGGUACCGUGCAUUGCCCUUUCUCAUAUUGAGAGUUGGUGAAAACUCCGCCGGUGCAUCCAAACCCGUGACAUGAUACACUCUGUCAUACAU
rnacentral:lncRNA from 1 species